rnacentral:rRNA from 1 species
CCUACGGGUGGCAGCAGUGAGGAAUAUUGGUCAAUGGUCGGGAGCCUGAACCAGCCAAGCCGCGUGUAGGAUGAAUGUACUACGUAUUGUAAACUUCUUUUAUAAAGGAAUAAAGUGAGGCACGUGUGCCUUGUUGAAUGUACUUUAUGAAUAAGGAUCGGCUAACUCCGUGCCAGCAGCCGCGGUAAUACGGAGGAUCCGAGCGUUAUCCGGAUUUAUUGGGUUUAAAGGGAGCGUAGAUGGGUUGUUAAGUCAGUGGUGAAAGUUUGGGGCUCAACCCUAACAUUGCAAUUGAUACUGGCAGCCUUGAGUUCAGUAGAGGUAGGCGGAAUGCGCGGUGUAGCGGUGAAAUGCUUAGAUAUCACGAAGAACUCCGAUUGCGAAGGCAGCCUACCAGACUCACACUGACGUUGAGGCACGAAAGUGUGGGUAUCAAACGGGAUUAGAUACCCCUGUAGUC